GACGAACGCUGGCGGCGUGCUUAACACAUGCAAGUCGAACGGUGAAGCGCCUUCCUUUUUGGUGGGUGUGGAUGAGUGGCGAACGGGUGAGUAACACGUGGGUAACCUGCCCCCUUCUUCUGGAUAACCGCAUGAAAGUGUGGCUAAUACGGGAUAUUCUGGGUCUGUCGCAUGAUGGGUCUGGGAAAGAUAUUGUUUCGGUGGGGGAUGGGCUCGCGGCCUAUCAGCUUGUUGGUGGGGUGAUGGCCUACCAAGGCGGUGACGGGUAGCCGGCCUGAGAGGGUGGACGGUCACACUGGGACUGAGGCACGGCCCAGACUCCUACGGGAGGCAGCAGUGGGGAAUAUUGCACAAUGGGCGCAAGCCUGAUGCAGCGACGCCGCGUGAGGGAUGGAGGCCUGCGGGUUGUGAACCUCUUUCGCCAGUGAAGCAGGCCUGCCUCGUUUGUGGGUGGGUUGACGGUAGCUGGAUAAGAAGCGCCGGCUAACUACGUG
rnacentral:rRNA from 1 species